UACGUAGGGAGCAAGCGUUGUCCGGAAUCAUUGGGCGUAAAGAGCGUGUAGGCGGCCCGGUAAGUCGGUUGUGAAAGUCAAGGGCUCAACCCUUGAAAGCCGACCGAUACUGUCGGGCUAGAAUCCGGAAGAGGCGAGUGGAAUUCCUGGUGUAGCGGUGAAAUGCGCAGAUAUCGGGAAGAACACCUAUGGCGAAGGCAGCUCUCUGGGACGGUACUGACGCUGAGACGCGAAAGCGUGGGGAGCGAACAGG
rnacentral:rRNA from 1 species